CCUAUCCGUCGCAGGCGCAGGAAACUUGAGAGGAGCUGUCCCUAGUACGAGAGGACCGGGAUGGACAGACCGCUGGUGUACCAGUUAUCGUGCCAACGGUAGCGCUGGGUAUCUAUGUCUGGUGUGGAUAAACGCUGAAAGCAUCUAAGCGUGAAACCCCCCUCAAGAUAAGGUUUCCCACCUUCUCGAACUUCGAGAAGGGUAAGACCCCUGGUAGACUACCAGGUAGAUAGGCCGGGCGUGUAAGACUGGCAACAGUUUGAGCGGACCGGUACUAAUAGGUCGAGGGCUUGACUAUAUGACA
rnacentral:rRNA from 1 species